rnacentral:rRNA from 1 species
ACGGGUGAGUAACACGUGAGUAACCUGCCCCGAACUCUGGGAUAAGCGCUGGAAACGGCGUCUAAUACUGGAUAUGUCCCAUCACCGCAUGGUGUGUGGGUGGAAAGAUUUAUCGGUUCGGGAUGGACUCGCGGCCUAUCAGCUUGUUGGUGAGGUAAUGGCUCACCAAGGCGACGACGGGUAGCCGGCCUGAGAGGGUGACCGGCCACACUGGGACUGAGACACGGCCCAGACUCCUACGGGAGGCAGCAGUGGGGAAUAUUGCACAAUGGGCGCAAGCCUGAUGCAGCAACGCCGCGUGAGGGAUGACGGCCUUCGGGUUGUAAACCUCUUUUAGUAGGGAAGAAGCGAAAGUGACGGUACCUGCAGAAAAAGCACCGGCUAACUACGUGCCAGCAGCCGCGGUAAUACGUAGGGUGCAAGCGUUGUCCGGAAUUAUUGGGCGUAAAGAGCUCGUAGGCGGCUUGUCGCGUCUGCUGUGAAAACCCGAGGCUCAACCUCGGGCCUGCAGUGGGUACGGGCAAGCUAGAGUGCGGUAGGGGAGAUUGGAAUUCCUGGUGUAGCGGUGGAAUGCGCAGAUAUCAGGAGGAACACCGAUGGCGAAGGCAGAUCUCUGGGCCGUAACUGACGCUGAGGAGCGAAAGCAUGGGGAGCGAACAGGAUUAGAUACCCUGGUAGUCCAUGCCGUAAACGUUGGGAACUAGAUGU